rnacentral:rRNA from 1 species
UACGUAGGGUGCAAGCGUUGUCCGGAAUUAUUGGGCGUAAAGAGCUCGUAGGCGGUCUGUCGCGUCGGCUGUGAAAACCCGGAGCUCAACUCCGGGCCUGCAGUCGAUACGGGCAGACUGGAGUUCGGCAGGGAAGACUGGAAUUCCUGGUGUAGCGGUGAAAUGCGCAGAUAUCAGGAGGAACACCGGUGGCGAAGGCGGGUCUCUGGGCCGAUACUGACGCUGAGGAGCGAAAGCGUGGGGAGCGAACAGG